UAUAUACUCCUUUCGUCCGGAAAUACUUGCCAUCAAAAUGGAUAAAAAGGAUGUAUCUAGACGUAUCUUAGUUCUAGAUACAUCUGUUUUUUUCAUUUUGAUGACGAGUAUUUUCGGACGGAGGGAGUACCAU
rnacentral:pre_miRNA from 1 species